rnacentral:rRNA from 1 species
ACGGGAGGCAGCAGUGGGGAAUAUUGGGCAAUGGGCGGAAGCCUGACCCAGCAACGCCGCGUGAAGGAAGAAGGUUUUCGGAUUGUAAACUUCUUUUAUGAGGGACGAAGGACGUGACGGUACCUCAUGAAUAAGCCACGGCUAACUACGUGCCAGCAGCCGCGGUAAUACGUAGGUGGCAAGCGUUAUCCGGAUUUACUGGGUGUAAAGGACGCGUAGGCGAGGAUGCAAGUCAGAUGUGAAAUCUAUGGGCUUAACUCAUAAACUGCAUUUGAAACUGUAUUUCUUGAGUGCUGGAGAGGUAGAUGGAAUUCCUUGUGUAGCGGUGAAAUGCGUAGAUAUAAGGAAGAACAGCAGUGGAGAAGGCGAUCUACUGGACAGUAACUGACGCUGAGGCGCGAAAGCGUGGGGAGCAAACAGGAUUAGAUACCCUGGUA